UUGCAAUGAUGAUUUUCUUAGGACACCUUUGGAAUAAUCAUGAAAACAUUUCUAAUUCUGAGCUUC